CAGAGGUCCCAAGCGUUGUUCGGAUUUACUGGGCGUAAAGGGUGCGUAGGUGGCUAGGUAAGUCUGACGUGAAAUCCCACAGCUUAACUGUGGAACUGCGUCGGAUACUAUCAAGCUAGAGGUAUGGAGGGGAGAUUGGAAUGCUCGGUGUAGCAGUGAAAUGCGUAGAUAUCGAGCGGAACACCAGUGGCGAAGGCGAAUCUCUGGACAUUACCUGACACUGGGGCACGAAAGCCAGGGGAGCAAACGGG
rnacentral:rRNA from 1 species